ACAUCCAGCGAACUUGGCAGAGAUGCCUUGGUGCCUUCGGGAACGCUGAGACAGGUGCUGCAUGGCUGUCGUCAGCUCGUGUUGUGAAAUGUUGGGUUAAGUCCCGNAACGAGCGCAACCCUUAUCCUUUGUUGCCAGCGAUUCGGUCGGGAACUCAAAGGAGACUGCCGGUGAUAAACCGGAGGAAGGUGGGGAUGACGUCAAGUCAUCAUGGCCCUUACGAGUAGGGCUACACACGUGCUACAAUGGCGCAUACAAAGAGAAGCGACCUCGCGAGAGCAAGCGGACCUCAUAAAGUGCGUCGUAGUCCGGAUCGGAGUCUGCAACUCGACUCCGUGAAGUCGGAAUCGCUAGUAAUCGUGGAUCAGAAUGCCACGGUGAAUACGUUCCCGGGCCUUGUACACACCGCCCGUCACACCAUGGGAGUGGGUUGCAAAAGAAGUAGGUAGCUUAACCUUCGGGAGGGCGCUUACCACUUUGCGAUUCAUGACUGGGGUGAAGUCGUAACAAGGUAAGCGUAGCGAG
rnacentral:rRNA from 1 species